rnacentral:rRNA from 1 species
AAGUCCCGUAACGAGCGCAACCCUUGUCCUCAGUUACCAGCGGUUCGGCCGGGAACUCUGGGGAGACUGCCGGUGACAAACCGGAGGAAGGUGGGGAUGACGUCAAGUCAUCAUGGCCCUUAUGGGCAGGGCUACACACGUGCUACAAUGGUAACUACAACGGGUUGCGAAAUCGUGAGGUCAAGCUAAUCCCUAAAAGGUUAUCUCAGUUCGGAUUGUAGUCUGCAACUCGACUACAUGAAGUCGGAAUCGCUAGUAAUCGCGGAUCAGAAUGCCGCGGUGAAUACGUUCCCGGGUCUU